CAAAAAACUAGCCGGGCAAGGUGGCGGGCGCCUGUAGUCCCAGCUACUCCGGAGGCUGAGGCAGGAGAAUGGCGUAAACCCGGGAGGCGGAGCUUGCAGUGAGCUGAGAUCCGGCCACUGCACUCCAGCCUGGGCGACAGAGCAAGACUCCGUCUCAAAAAUAUAUAUAUAUAUAUAUACAUAUACAAUCCUCCUGGCUGGCUUGUGAUGUUCAUUGGCCAGGCACAGUGGCUCACACCUGUAAUCCCAACACUUUGGGAGGCCAAGGCGGGUGGAUCAUGAGGUCAGGAGGUUGGGACCACGGUGAAACCCCGUCUCUACUAAAAAUACAAAAAUUAGCCAGGCCUGGUGGCGGGUGCCUGUAGUCCCAGCUACUUGGGAGGCUGAGGCAGGAGAAUGGUGUGAACCCGGCAGGCGGAGCUUGCAGUGAGCUGCGAUCGCACCAAUACACUCCAGCCUAGGUGACAGAGGAAGACUGUCUCAAAAAGAAAAAUAAAAUAUACAACCAAAGGCAGUAUUCACAGAGGUAUUUCUUGGGAAUAAAAGAAGGAAUAUAGUCAUUCCUUGGUAUUCUCUUUGGUGUCCAGAGUUAGUUACUUUAAAAUUCUUGGUGUUUAUUGCCUUUUAGUCAGGGAUACACCUUUUAUUCAAUUUAUUUUACCAGUCUCAUUUAGUAGUAGGGAUGCAUCUUAGCAUUUUUAUACUGCUGCUUAACACAGUGUUUCAUCGUUUCAAUUUGUUGAAAAGGUUUUGAUGAUUUGGGCAGUGCAUUAAUAGAAGAGCAGUUAAUAGUUUUGAGAGUUUUGUGAAUUCUUUCUUGGUUAUGUGUGUAGUGAAUAAGGCAAAGCAGAAUACCAUGGGAGUCAGUAAAAUGAGAUAUGGAGGCAAUUUCUGAUGAAAGGGAUGUUCUUUCUCACUUUUCUCUUUUUUAAGGCAUUCAAUUUCUAUUAAAGUGUCCUGGAAAAAAGUCAUUCACACUAAUGCAGAAUUUUUACAUUUUUCUGCAGUAGUGGUGGUGGUGGUGGAGGAGGCGGCGGUGGUGGAGGUGGAGGUGGUGGCAGACGUCGAGAUUCUUACUAUGAUAGAGGAUAUGAUCGUGGGUAUGACAGAUAUGAAGACUAUGAUUACCGGUACAGAAGACGAUCACCUUCUCCUUAUUAUAGUCGAUACAGAUCACGAUCAAGAUCUCGUUCCUACAGCCCAAGUAUGUGAACUUUGCUUUUGUAGCAUUAAAAACCUCAUUUCUAAUUAAUGGCUUACUUUAGAAUAUUAGAAUAUAAGGUGGAAGGUGGCAGUUAAUAGUUGGAAAAAUAUUAGGCAAAUUAAACUAUAAUUGUUAACUUUUUUUUUUUGCUUUUUCUCUUUUAGGACGCUAUUGAUAACGGAAUGGUUGCAAUUAAGGACAUUGUUUUCCUCUUUGUUUUCUUUUUUUUUUUUUUUUUUCCUGAGACUUCCCCAAGCUUUGGAUUCUUCCUACUCCUUAAGAAAAAAAUCUUUGGUUUAUUUAGCAUCUACACUUUUGUCAGUUGUGUUGCUGUUUUCCACCCCUUUUAAUUAUACUCUUAAAGAUGUAAUUGUUGUCAUUUUGAGCAGUUAAACAUCUUGAGUAUAAAAAGAACCCCAAUGUUACGCUUUGUAAAUUUUUUUUUUUUUUUUUUUUUUUUUU
ensembl:lincRNA